AAGCCUGAUAUGGCUAAAGAAUGAAUGGAAUUACUCCAGACUUGACCAAGUAGGAGUCCUGAUUGCAGCCGCCAUGCUGGCUGGAUAUCACUGCCUGCGGAGAUUAAUAAGGCCUCAGGCACAUGGCAUGCAGCUGUGGAUUUGCUUGCAUCAGGGCUACCUUAACUCCUCAACCUUCUAUAAAUAUCACCUUAAGAGACCUGGACGAAUCAGACAUCUCACAGAAUACUAAAUCUCUUCAUUUCAUUGGCAAUAUCACAUAAAUUGGGAAGGAUGAACAAGAGCAGGAAAGUACGCUGAAUUCCCUGGCAAAACAUGUGCACUAUAGAAGGUGAAGAUAAACCUUACAGAGCUUCAAGAGUGGCCACUGCAGUGAAGUGUUAUGGGUCCAGUGGUUAGGGGCAUGCAGAGCUCCCCCCUCCCCACCCCACCAAAGUAAAAGACAAACUUGCAUCUUGCAUCCUUACCAGAAGGAAGGAAGCACACUACUUGGUGAGCCUCUCUGGGUUCUGGCAACAGCACAUUCCACAUCUAAGUUUAUUGCUUUGGCUGACACUCUGGGUGAUAUAGGAGGAGGCCAGCUUUGAGUGGGGCCUGGACUGGAAAGGACACUGCAGCAGACCCAGGCUGUGGUGCAGUCAGUCACCAUCCCUCAGACCUCUGGUGCUGGAGGUGGCGGUCUGGGGAAAGAAGCAGGAUGGAGCUGAACCAAGCAUCAGUGGGAAAGUCAGAAUGCAGGGCCUGGGAUCAGGAGUAAGGCCAUGGAGUCCACAGCAGAGAAACAUGCUCCAUGUUAGAAGCAACUUUUAGCAUGUUACUGGCCCUGAUAAGAUAGAAUGCUUGAGCAUAGGACACCAAGCAACCAUGUGAUUCCAAGUGCCCGUGUGUAUUGGCUUCUAUGUGACCCAUAGAGUCAUUCACUGGACAGGCCCAGCGGCAUCUAUCAUGAGACGAAAAUGGUCCAUGUCGGUUGAGCCUCAAUUCCAUGUUAACACCCACAGAAAACACCCAGUCCUGAUGUGGCCCUGAAUAACCAAACAAAUUGAAGACAAAUUGAAGUUAGCCAGUCUGCAUCAUGGAUCAGCCCAGGCCUGAUAGGAAGGACCCGUGAGUGGAGCAACCACAGUGGCAGGGAUGAAGCUACAAAUGAGUCCAGCAGCACUGUCUCUCCACUACCAAGGCCCACCCAGCUACUGCUUCCUCUGAAUACUCUGCUCGUGAGCAUUGCAGGCCAAUGAUAGGCACCGAUAGGGCACUAUUUCUUAAAGUAACUGACUAGCCCCUAAGUGACAAGUUGAAUAGCUUGAACACCAUCCAUCCUGGAAGGGGCAGAAGUUCAUCCUCACAGGGAUAGGAUCACAGGGAUUCGAUGUGGUGUGGUUUUCCUCUCUGCUCUCAGACCCUCAGUCAACAACACUAUUGGCAUUCCUGAUCCACUGGCUCAGAAUUUCAGUACAUUAUCUGCCUGGGGGACACACCUCUUGGGGAAGGGGAUGAAGUGUGGGCCCUGACCAUGGGAUCCCCUGGUCAUAUCACCACCUGCGCCUCUCAAGUGCUGCCAGGCACACAGAGUCAUGGACAGGACUCUACAGGCACAACUCAGUACCAGCUUGGAUGAAACCCUCUGAGGAAUGGGUGCCAUCUUUCAGGAUGUGAUGCAUGUAUUGAAUCAAAGACGUCUCUAAGGCACUGUUUUCAGAAGGAAGAAUACGUGGGUCCAAAAACCAAGAAGUCAAAGCAGGUGUGUCUCAUUCCUUAUAUUCACCCCCAGGGUGAUUUACUUAUAAGUAAAUAAAUAAAUACAUAAAUAACAUGAAUACAUAAAUAAAUUUAUUUAUGCAUGUA